GAAGAACCGGAUUUUCUUUUAUUUGAUUUUUUUUCUGUUCUGAAGGAUGCUGUAUUGAGCUGAACAUGACAAAUAUGCCAGGAAUGUUUGCCCUCGGGGCUCGGGAGAGCACGGAAAAGCCCAGAGAAAGGCACCGCUGGCACCUUAUCAAGCGCAGCCCGGCUGUUUGUGCGACGCCCAGCCUCAGCGGCAGGUCCCUGCGCCCUGCCCAGGAUGCCACCGAGGGGCCGUGCCACUGCUGCUGCAAUGCCAACGCUGCACGGCCACCUCAGGCACGGGGCAGAGCUCUGCCUGCUCAUAGGGAUGAGAAAAGCAGCAGAAAAGGUCACCUCCAUCCUGGGAGCCCCAAUUAAAUGCACCGCAAUAGGAGCGCAUUGCCCCAGCAGCGUGCUGGCAUCCUCCACACACACCUGUCCUCUCAGGUCCCUCUGCCCCAUCCCGUUCAAAUCACUCCUCCCCGAGGAGCCCCAGUGAUGUGGAGCAUCCCUGGCUCACACCACCAUCUCCCUGCACCCAGCAGAGAGCCACUGCCACACCGCUCCACACAGCCCCACAUAGCAGGCUGGGGCCGGGGCUAAUUAACAGCCCUCGUUAAAAUAUAUAUUGUGGUGGGUUGAAAAGAGGUUCCCCCGAGCCAGAGGAAGCUGGGGAGGGGCUGCAGAGAGAUAGCGAGGCAUUAAGGGGGGGAGGGGGGGCGGCUGGGUGCAUUUAUUUCUUUAUUUACUUCCAUUUUGAAAAUAAAAUAGAGUGCCUCUCUGUAGCUGCAGGCGCCCUCACGUCUAUUAAAGUACCACAUAGGAAAUUGUAAAGUGCAGGAAAACAACCCAAUCAGCCUGACCCCUUCACAAACUCCAGCCAGAGCCAAAGUUGCAGAGUAAACAAAGCAAAUCCUCCGCUGCCGCUGCGCCUGGCUGGGUGCUGGGGCUGCAGCACCGACAGCUGAACGGCCCCGCAGCCCCAGCCCAGCCCCAGGAACCAAAGUGGGGAUGCUCUGAGGUGUCACCCUGGAGGCAUCGCCCUGAUGGUGGCAGUGAUGCCGUGGGACAACAGAGUACAGCUCGGCAUGUCCGGACAUGUCCUCGUCCUUGCCCAGCCCGGCAGCACCGCAGCCCCUUCCCCUCUGCAGGAGGCAGCUGGAGAGCAGCACUGCCUGCCCACAGGCUUCUUCAGCCCCUCGGCCAAAGGGAGGGUGUUAAAUGACUCAACAGCCGGCCUGGGCGCGGGGGUCGGAGGGUAAUGUCUGCUCCAAGUCAGAUGCUUCCUCUCCUCCUCGCUGGAGACGAUGACGCUCAGGGCCAGCCAAAGGUCCCACCUCCCCCAGCCGAUGCUGCCGUGCCGCUGAGCCACAGCUCCGUCCCACAGCCGUCGGACACCCGCAGUCCCACUGCCUGCUGUGAGCAUCGGUCCCACACAGGCUCUGAAAUCAGCAUCCCAGCAGAGGCUGCCCACGUUAAUCAGGCUGGCCACAGCUUGGAACAAACCCUCUGAUUGAGCCUUGGCAGAGGCAGCACCUGUGCUCCCCUCCCCCACACACACUGGCACAGCACAGAGAUCAGAAAUGCUCACGGGGUGAAGGUCUGCGUCCUGCUGCCCCCUGCAUCCCUCAUCCCAAGGGAUCAGGGGAACCCCAUGAGCACAGCUCCCUGUUGGUCACUGUGAGGGGACAGCACAGCCUCCGCUGCCACCCGGCCGCAGGUGUGUGCCGGGGGGAUGCAGGACGCCUUCAGCAUCCCCACAGCCCCACAUCCGUGCUCCCUUCCUGGUAGAGCAGCGGAUGUUUACAUGAUGGUUUCUUGCUGGUGAAGGACACACAAAGCCUCCAAAAAGAAGAAAAAAAAAAAAAAGAAGAGAAUAAAACACACACACACACACAAAAAUCCCCUGUUGUUCCCUCCAGCAGAUGGAAAGUAAACACAGCUGCUCCUCUCACCCCACGCACCCCAACCCCCGCCCAUGGAGGUCCCCACACCCCCCGCCAGGCCGUGCAGCCGGGGGCCCUUUGCCUGCAGGGUUCUUCAGCACAGCAGGCAUAGGAGAGGGCACUUCUGCACGGGGUGUCUCUCACACUGCGCCUGUUGCUGCAGCAUUUUCCCCUCUCUGAUUCUUAUCCUGCUGUGAUUUUGCUGGACUAUGGGACUGUGCCUUGGGGUUACCCCAGGGACGCUACGGGUCCCCCACUCGUGGGCUUACUGAGCGUGCAUCCAUGCGUGAGUGCAUUUGGAAGAGCCACGCUCCAGCAGUGGCACAACAUGGAGGCUCCAGGCGCACCUCCACACCUGGGAUUUCCCAUCUCCUUUUCUUCUUCCUCGAUUUCAAAGCAGGCAGCAGCUCCCAGCACCAGGGCUUGCUGCAGCUCUGCAGCCCCAAGGUCCCCACCCCACCCUGUCUGACCUGAAACGAAGGAGAAAUGAAGCAUUUCCCAUAUUUGCUAUGCAACGGCAGCAGCUCCGGGGCAGAGCCAUGAGUGGGAACCUUCUCAGCAGCUUCCUCAAGUAACGCUCCCAGUUCUGGAUUUGAAUAAAGCAUGGGGAUCUCUCAACCCCAACCACGUGCAGAAGCUCCAAAUCUCCCCCAGCUCCCCCUUUUCCAUCGCUCACUUGGUGGUGUGUUUGCAGGCAGCCCCCGACCCAUCCGCCUUUGGGUCUGGGAGGGGUGUGAGCCCCCGGUGGGUUUGGGGCCGCAGUGGUGCGCGGGGCAGCGGCGAUGCUGCGGGCUCCUCGCGGCCGUUCCGUGGAGCUCGGCUGUCCUCUAGUGCCCGCCCGGCGCUACGGCACGGCGGGGCCGGGAGAUGAAACAGAGACGGGGAUUACAGACCCGGUCCUGCGGAGCCCGACCGCCGCUCCUCAGCCUCCCGCCCCAUUUCAGCCUCCGCUUUUCCUGAGCUCCAACGGUUGUGGGAUUUUAUUUUUAAUUUUUGGCUUUCUGUUACCUGCUGGCCUCCCAGCCCCUUUUGGACCCCACUCUCUCUGGUCUCCCAACACCUUUCAGCCUCCCACACUUCUGUGUCCUCCCCUCCCUUAUAGGCCUCCCCCAUUUCUCAGCCUCCCCGCUUUUCCACCCUCCCACCUCUUUGGGGCAUCUCACCCUUUUGUUGGCCUCCAGCCUUUUUUUCAGCCUCAUCUCUCUUUCAGCCCACCCAUUUUUUUGUUUUAAUUAUUAUUAUUAUUUUUUAACCUUUGCAUUUUCCUGCACUCUCCACCUCUUUUCCAGCCUCUA
ensembl:lncRNA